UGAGGAAUUUUGCGCAAUGGGAGCAAUCCUGACGCAGCAACGCCGCGUGGGUGAUGAAGGCCUUCGGGUCGUAAAGCCCUGUCAGGUGGGAAGAAUGUCCUGGAAUUGAACAGGUUCCGGGAGUGACGGUACCACCAGAGGAAGCACCGGCUAACUCCGUGCCAGCAGCCGCGGUAAUACGGAGGGUGCAAGCGUUAUUCGGAAUUACUGGGCGUAAAGCGCGUGUAGGCGGUCCUGCAAGUCUGAUGUGAAAGCCCCGGGCUUAACCCGGGAAGGGCAUUGGAAACUGCAAGGCUUGAUUACUGGGGAGGUUGGGGGAAGU
rnacentral:rRNA from 1 species